CCCGAAACCGGGCGACCUACCCAUGAGCAGGAUGAAGCGAAAGUAAAAUUUCGUGGAGGUCCGAACCCACGAGCGUUGAAACGCUCGGGGAUGACUUGUGGGUAGCGGUGAAAUGCCAAUCGAGGCCGGAGAUAGGUAGUUGACCCCGAAAUAGCGUUAGGGCUAGCCUCAAGGUGAGAGAUACGGAGGUAGAGCACAGGGGGUCCUAGGCGACAUUGCACCUACCGAAAACUAUCUAAAUCAGAAUGCCGUCUUCUUAUACUUAGAAAUCAGACGGCGUGUGAUACGCUGCAUAGUCGAAAGGGUAUCAGUCUGGAACGUCACCUCAGGGCCCAAACUUGCAGU
rnacentral:rRNA from 1 species